UACGGGGGGGGCAAGCGUUGUUCGGAAUUAUUGGGCGUAAAGGGCGCGUAGGCGGCCAUGCGUGUCUUCCGUGAAAUCCCUCGGCUUAACUGAGGACGUGCGGAAGAAACUGCAAGGCUCGAGUCCGGGAGAGGGGGGUGGAAUUCCCAGUGUAGCGGUGAAAUGCGUAGAUAUUGGGAGGAACACCGGUGGCGAAGGCGGCCCCCUGGACCGGUACUGACGCUGAGGCGCGAAAGCGUGGGUAGCAAACGGG
rnacentral:rRNA from 1 species